AUGUGGAAAGAUUUGACUGAUUGCAAACCACAAUAAAAAAAGCGCUAAAGCAGCUU
rnacentral:ncRNA from 1 species